CCCGGUCCAAUUAUACCACAUGAAAAAAACACCUACAGAUCUCUGUUGGCGUAACUGCGGAGAAAAAGGGACAUACACCCAUAUGUGGUGGUUCUGCCCCACCAUUAAACUCUUCUGGAAAGACAUCCAAAAACUAAUAACACAAAUCCUACACAGACCAGUAGGCCUAACUCCAUGGACAUUCCUGCUAGCCAAACCCCUAGAUGACUGGCUCCAUGAAAUCAUUCACUAAGACGUGGGAACCGUGGGAAACCUACAACGAUGACUAGAAAGCCUCGUGAAUCGUUCAG